GUUAUAAAUAUGACUCUGCCUAAGACUCAGGUGGCGCAAGCCUCAAUCAUACCUGCCGAGGAAGAAAUGAAAUGUUCCUUCUCUAUGUCUGCCGGUCAUAGGGAUUUUUUUAAAUCCGU
rfam:Lactobacillus coleohominis DSM 14060 Scaffold543, whole genome shotgun sequence.